UUUAUUUUAUACUUAGGUUAUUAUUUUCCAGUACUACAUUAUUUAUUUUGUUCAAAAGUUUAUAUGCAUAGUCCUACAGGGUUUUUGGAUCUCAACAUAUAAACAUUUUUCACCCCAUUCUUUAUCCUCUCCUUGUGGGAUCCCAAUUAUUCAUAUAUUAGAGUACUUGAUAUUGUCCCAUAUGUCACUGAGGCAUACUCAUUUCUUUCUAAAUCUUUUUAUUUUUAUCAUGCUUUUAUUUUAAUUUCUCUUGACCCAUCUUUACAGUCAAUGGUUUUUUGCUUCUGCAUUGUGGAGUCUGCUGUUAAUCUUAUCCAGCAAAUUUUUUAUUUCAGAUAUUUUAGUGUUCAGUUCCAGGAUUUCUUUUUGAUUCUUUCUUAGCUCUAUGAAUUUUCUUAUCUUUUCACCUGUUAUAUCCAUAUUUUCCUGUAGGUUUUUUGGACAUACCACAGUUAUUUUAAAGUCUUUAUGUGCUAAUUCCAAUAUCUGAGUCUUCUGUGGGUCUGUUUCAGUGAACUGUUUUUCUCUUCUGACUAUGGGUCACAUUUUUUGUCUUCAUCUGUCUAGGAAUUUUAAAUUAUAUAAUGUGCAUUAAAGAUAAUAUAUUGUAGAGAUUCUGGAUUCAGUUAUACUCUUAUAAAUAAUGUUUUACUACCAGGUAAUUAAAUUACUGGUGUACUCCCUUAACUUCGUGGGGUCUUGUUUUCUUUAAUUUAUUUUUUAUUUUUAAAAAAUGUUUAUUUUGAAUGAGUGAGAGUGAGAGAGAGAGAGAGAGAGAGAGAGAGAGGGACAGAGCAGGGGAGAGGCAGAGAGAAGGAGAGAGAGAAUCCCAAGCAGGCUCUGCCCUAUCAGCACAGAGCCCAGUGUGGGGCUCGAUUUGACGAACCAUGAGAUCAUGACCUGAACAGAAAUUAAAAGUUAGAUGCUCAACUGACUGAGCCACCCAGGUGCCUCUGAUUUUAUGUUUUAAUAGAGAGUCUUAGUCCAGUGUUCUCUUUAGGCUUAGGGUGCCCUUAUUUCUAACAUGUGGCCCUCCUGGGGUUUUAGUAGGAAGUUUAAGGUAUUUAACAAAUUUCUUUAUAUAGACAAUUGGUGAGAACAUAUUUCAGUAGAUUGAAGGGAUAUCUUAUGGGAAAAUCUUUCCAUAUAGACAACCUCCUUCUCCCUGUAGGCUUUGGGCCUGACUUGCUUCUUUGUUUUAAUCAUAUAUUUUAAAGAAUUACUUAUGAAAAUAUGUAUAAAGGAAAAUUUUCCUGAAUUCCUAGAGGAAUCCCUGCAUCUUAAAGAUCAACUAUAUUUUACCCAAAAAAGAAGAAUUAACAUGUUUAAAUUUAGUGGAUGAAUGUAAGCCCAAAGUGCUUUUAAGUCCUUUAUAUUUUAUUUGUAAUCUUUCUAAACAUCUCAGGCUUAUUGUAUGUAAAAGACACCAAGAGAAAAAAAAGACACUCAGAUACUUCAACUUUCUUUUGAAAAAUGUGUGUCUAUCUUUGUAAUAGUCAUCAUCAAAUUAAUUACCAAUUUUGGUGACUAUGUAUUGGUAGGCUCAAGGCUCAUCUAAUUAUCUAAUCAUGGCAAAAGCUUGAAAUAAGUGAAGAGUUCCCAUACUUUGCUUGGCCAUUAUUGACUUAUGUGUUUGCCAUUGUUUUUUAAUCUCUCCUUUUUACUACAUAUCUCAUCAUUUUGUUAGCUGAAUUCCAUCUAUAAUUAGAGUCAUGGAGUUGUUUACUGUUAACAUCUCAGUCAUCCCAAGGAUAGUUCAACUUUCACAUUCCAAUCAUUGUUCUAAUUCUAAAAUAUAAGAACAAAGGUUUUCACACCUCUUUGAUGGGAAUAUUUUGCCAUCACUUUGCUUAGUCAGUGCUUCUUCCUUUUCAGUCUUAUCUGGACACAAGUUGAUAGUUUGCAUGCCUCUUCUCCAGUUGUACUUUUCCAUUCUUACCUGUGUCUUGUCUCCCUAAGGUGAUGUUCUUCAUGUUUACCAUGCUUAUAGAAAUUUUUGGAAUGAUGAUGAAGGACUCCCACAUCAAGUCAGCUUGUAAGGCAGUUUGCCAUGCAAAAUUUCUUACUAAAAUAUCCAGAAGAUACUAAAAAGACAAAAAAAAUGUUCAAUCCUCCAAAUUGAGGCAAAUGAUCUAGUGUCAUGCUCUGGAAGGAAUUUCCACUAAUUAUAGAGUCAACAGAAUUGGGAAGAGGACAGAAGUCAGUGUCCUAUCCAUGCUUUGCCUCAGGGUGAUCCAAGCAGGACAGCCGCACGGGAGAACACAGACGUGUGCUGCCUCACCUGCUGCCAACACAUGGCUAGAAACACUGUCCCACAGCAAGUGGAUGGAUCAGUGAAACUAAGUCUCAAAGCUCAGCCCUUGGCUUUGGACAUUGUCUCAGAGGAGGAACUCAGGGAAUAGAUCAUGAGUCCUUAAACUUUCUUGUGUGCUAUGGAUCUCUUUGGCAGUUUGGUGAAGCCUCUGGAUUCCCUAAAAGAUCCUAUGAAGUAUAUUGAAAUACAGUCAUUAAAAUAUUUUGAAAAACAGGGGCGCCUGGGUGACUCAGUCGGUUAAGCGUCCGACUUCGGCUCAGGUCAUGGUCUCACGGUUCGUGAGUUCAAGCCCCACGUCGGGCUCUGUGCUGACAGCUCAGAGCUUGGAGCCUGCUUCACAUUCUGUGUCUCCCUCUCUCUCUGCCCCUUCCCUGUUCAUGCUCUGUCUCUCUCUGUCUCAAAAAUAAAUAAACAUUAAAAAAAUAAAAAAAAUAUUUUGAAAAACAAAUCUGUGGUAUAUAAGACACGUACUUUUUAUUCAUGCAUUAGAUACUAAGCCUAAGAGCAAAUCAAAGAAAUAAUUUGUUAUGAUUCAAGUUAUGAUGAAUGUAAUAGUAGUUUCAACAUAUCUAUAACAACUGGAAUAUAACGUGAAAAUACCUGUGAUUUCUAUUGGUGACAAAGUCACAUAAACUGCUAAUCCGACUGUGGUUUGUCACCUACAUUCAUAAUUGAAAGAAAUACUAAAUUUCAGUUAGAGAAAUUUAGUGAAAAUACAUAUAUAAUUUUUUUUCCUGUGCAAGUUUAUGGAUCCCCUGAGUUCUAUCCCAGGUGAAGGACCCUAGGUUUAAACAAUAAUGAAAACAGAAGAAAAGAUAAGUAUAAGAAGAAUGGAAAGCUUACCUUUUCAGUGUAGUUACAUGAAUGUUCGUUACAUUUCAAACCACUAACAGUAAAUGUUGUAGUUUGGUGGUUAGCACUUCUUUUUGUAUACCGUCUUCUCCCAACAAAUGUUUGUUAAAGAACUAACAAAAACAGUGCAUUUGUCAGGGGCGCCUGGGUGGUGCAGUCGGUUAAGCGUCCGACUUCAGCCAGGUCACGAUCUCGUGGUCCGUGAGUUCGAGCCCCGCGUCAGGCUCUGGGCUGAUGGCUCGGAGCCUGGAGCCUGUUUCUGAUUCUGUGUCUCCCUCUCUCUCUGCCCCUCCCCCGUUCAUGCUCUGUCUCUCUCUGUCCCAAAAAUAAAUAAAAACGUUGAAAAAAAA